GACGAACGCUGGCGGCGUGCCUAACACAUGCAAGUUGAGCGACGAACCGGGGCUUGCCCCGGGGCAAAGCAGCGAACGGGUGAGUAACACGUGGAUAACGUACCCCGAUAACCGGGACAACCCGAGGAAACUCGAGCUAAUACCGGAUGUGCCCAUCACACACCAGUGUGAUGUGUAAAGGAAGCUUCGGCCUCCGUAUUGGGAGCGGCCCGCGGCCCAUUAGCUAGUUGGUGAGGAACGGCUCACCAAGGCAACGAUGGGUAGCUGGUCUGAGAGGACGAUCAGCCACACUGGGACUGAGACACGGCCCAGACUCCUACGGGAGGCAGCAGUGGGGAAUCUUGCGCAAUGGGCGAAAGCCUGACGCAGCGACGCCGCGUGAGGG
rnacentral:rRNA from 1 species